GCCAGGCACAGUGGCGCAGGUCUGUAAUCCCAGCGACUCCGGAGGCUGAGGCAGGAGGAUUGCGAGUUCAAAGCCAGCCUCAGCAACUCAGUGAGACCCUGUCUCUA
rnacentral:sRNA from 1 species